rnacentral:lncRNA from 1 species
GGGGUGUAAUAGCGCGGGAGGUGGGGCUAAGGGGACCCUCAUCCUCCCUUUCCGACAAGUGGGGGUCCUGAGCGCUGCCCAGAAGGGGUCCAGAGAAUGUUGUGGGCUGGGGCACACCCGCCGGGGCAGAAAUUGGAGGACACCACCGACGUCGACAGAAUCCUUUCUAUCCUUCCUUUCAGCUGCCCGGUGUUCUCCACCCCUGCGUUAGCACUCUGUAGUCUGGGGACCUCCCGGGAACGUCCCGGGGCUAGCAACCAAGGGGGCUCUCGGAUGCUCUGUGGAUCGCCGCUUCGCCCUUACUUUGGGGACGGUCACACGCGUCCCGCUUCCCCCGGUCGCUUUAGAUCAGGCGUCUGCGCCCUCCCCGGCUCCUCACCCCCACCCCCAGAGUCAAAUGUGGGCCUCUCCUGGAAAUCCUUUGCGAAGGGGACAAACUUUUGAGUGGACGAAAAUCUAUUGGAGCCUGUCCAGAGCAGCAGGCCCUGCUCUGAGACCCUGAGGCUGGCUGGCAUACACUCUGCCUCUGUCUGGAGUUUAUAAUGAGGAUGCAAAUACAGGGAUUCAAAGAAGAGGCCCUAAUAUUCAUCACAGGCAAAGCACCGCCUUUACCUCGGAGUGCCUCGAGGAUAGGAAGAUCUUUGCCACCCUGAGACCUCCGUGUGUUGUG